rnacentral:rRNA from 1 species
UUUCCGGUUGAUCCCGCCGGACCUGACUGCUAUCGGAUUGAUACUAAGCCAUGCGAGUCAUUGUAGCAAUACAAGGCAUACGGCUCAGUAACGCGUAGUCAACCUAACCUAUGGACGGGAAUAACCUCGGGAAACUGAGAAUAAUGCCCGAUAGAACAUUAUACCUGGAAUGGUUUAUGUUCCAAAUGAUUUAUCGCCGUAGGAUGGGACUGCGGCCUAUCAGUUUGUUGGUGAGGUAAUGGCCCACCAAGACUAUUACAGGUACGGGCUCUGAGAGGAGUAGCCCGGAGAUGGGUACUGAGACACGGACCCAGGCCCUAUGGGGCGCAGCAGGCGAGAAAACUUUGCAAUGUGCGAAAGCACGACAAGGUUAAUCCGAGUGAUUUCUGCUAAAGAAAUCUUUUGUUAGUCCUAGAAACACUAACGAAUAAGGGGUGGGCAAGUUCUGGUGUCAGCCGCCGCGGUAAAACCAGCACCUCAAGUGGUCAGGAUGAUUAUUGGGCCUAAAGCAUCCGUAGCCGGCUCUGUAAGUUUUCGGUUAAAUCUGUACGCUUAACGUACAGGCCGCCGGGAAUACUGCAAAGCUAGGGAGUGGGAGAAGUAGACGGUACUCGGUAGGAAGUGGUAAAAUGCUUUGAUCUAUCGAUGACCACCUGUGGCGAAGGCGGUCUACUAGAACACGUCCGACGGUGAGGGAUGAAAGCUGGGGGAGCAAACCGGAUUAGAUACCCGGGUAGUCCCAGCUGUAAACUAUGCAAACUCAGUGAUGCAUUGGCUUGUGGCCAAUGCAGUGCUGCAGGGAAGCCGUUAAGUUUGCCGCCUGGGAAGUACGUACGCAAGUAUGAAACUUAAAGGAAUUGGCGGGGGAGCACCACAAGGGGUGAAGCCUGCGGUUCAAUUGGA